UACGUAGGGGGCAAGUGUUGUCUGGAAUUAUUGGGCGUAAAGCGCGCGCAGGCGGUCUUUUAAGUCUGAUGUGAAAGCCCGCGGCUCAACCGUGGAGGGUCAUUGGAAACUGGGAGACUUGAGUGUAGGAGAGGAAAGUGGAAUUCCACGUGUAGCGGUGAAAUGCGUAGAUAUGUGGAGGAACACCAGUGGCGAAGGCGGCUCUCUGGUCUGUAACUGACGCUGAGGUGCGAAAGCGUGGGGAGCAAACAGG
rnacentral:misc_RNA from 1 species